AUGAAACGGGAUGAAAUGCUGGGACCUGAUUGGCUUCAGCUCAAGACGGACCUGAGUGAAACCCAAAGGAGAGCAAGUUUAAGGGGUCGAGGAUCGCCCUUGGGCUGGAACUUCGUCAAAACGUUGCAGCGGUUGCGAGUUGCUGCUGCUGCGUCCCAGGAAAUUCUUGGCGGUGGGGCGGAGAGGAUGGAGGGACCAGCUGGGAGGUCGGCGGAGAUGGGGGGCAGGACCCUGAAAGAAGACUUGCAAGUAGAACGGAGUGAGGCCUGUGAGCUUGUUCAACAUGAAGGUAAAGAUGACCCUGAAGAAGUGCUUGAUGAAGCAGCCCAGCAAAGCCAGCUGCAGCCUCCCCUACCUCAGCAGGCAACCUUUCUUUCAAAUACCAUCUCGGAGGUGCAUCUGAGUGAGAGGAAUGAGCACUCCAAAGUGCUUGACACCGUCCGGGAGAACCAAGAAACUCUCCAAAUGGUCCUGAUGAAUCAGGAGACUCUGAAGGGUCUGACGGCUAAGCUCCUGAAGGCAGUAUCUUCCAUUGAAGAAAAAGUCCAAGCCAUGGGACAAGAGAUGGGCACCCUCAGCCAGUUCACCCAAGAACUCAACCAAGUAGGAGAUGAAAGCAACUGGGCUUAAAACUACUCUUCAGGAAAUGACUAACCUGGUCACUAUCCAAAGUGGGCCUGACUCUGAGGUUGCAACUGAAAAAAACAAUGUUUUUGGUAUCUUAAACAGACAGAAUGUGCUGCAGAAUAGAAAAUAAAAAUAGUUUCAAUACAGAUUUGAAUGAGCA
rnacentral:lncRNA from 1 species